UAUGAACGGGGCGAGUUUUUCAGGGGCUAAUGAUUUACAGUCAAGUCAACUGGAUCACUCUUAUGGCUGAAUUUUGAUCCGGUUGUCAAAACCUUGAAUUCUCGACAUAUCAAAGUAGAGAAUAUGAGAAAGGGCUUGUGUAAGUAAAAUGGAUGCCAAUAGUAAAUGAGACUAUAUGUAUUUAUAGGAAAUAAAAACACCCGUUUGAACCAUUGCGUCUCUUCAUCUGAAACACGUAAAGUUUAAUUCAAUUGAAGUGAUAUAUUUACAGGAAACAAAAACACCCGAUGUCUUCCGACGUAAUUCUGCGAAACGAAAAGAUGGAAAACGGUUGAAGUUUUGGUAUCAAUUGAAACAGGGUGGCUUGGAUAGACACGACGGUUACGUUUGCCGGUGGUGGCCAUUGUAAAUAUUUGAAACGGUAGAUUUUAAUUCUUUGGUGACCAUCUAUUUUUGUUGACGCAAUGGUUAAUAAUAUGACGCUUGUUCUAGUUGACGCAUCGGUUUUUUGGGUGCCUUGCAUUGAUGAAACGGUAUAUGCACGAAGAAGUGUGUGCGAAAUCGUGCCAAGGGAAUGAAAAUUAAUUGUUAGUUUCGCGAAAGGGUGUGAGUCAAUUGGUGGUGACUUUUAGUUGCUUUUUGUAUAGAUAUAUAAUAUAAUAGGUUCGCUUAUAUGACACCUACUCUAAAAGCGGACCACAAUGAACUUUUGUUGUAAAAGCGGACCGUGUAUUGACAAAUGAGCGAACCUGUUUUGAAUUUU
rnacentral:lncRNA from 1 species